AUUGAACGCUGGCGGCAUGCCUUACACAUGCAAGUCGAACGAUAACAGGUCUUCGGAUGCUGACGAGUGGCGAACGGGUGAGUAAUGCAUCGGAACGUGCCCAGUUGUGGGGGAUAACUGCUCGAAAGAGCAGCUAAUACCGCAUACGACCUGAGGGUGAAAGCGGGGGAUCGCAAGACCUCGCGCAAUUGGAGCGGCCGAUGUCAGAUUAGGUAGUUGGUGGGGUAAAGGCCUACCAAGCCGACGAUCUGUAGUGGGUCUGAGAGGACGACCAGCCACACUGGGACUGAGACACGGCCCAGACUCCUACGGGAGGCAGCAGUGGGGAAUUUUGGACAAUGGGCGCAAGCCUGAUCCAGCAAUGCCGCGUGCAGGAAGAAGGCCUUCGGGUUGUAACUGCUUUUGUCAGGGAAGAAAUCCUCUGGGUUAAUACCCCGGGGGGAUGACGGUACCUGAAGAAUAAGCACCGGCUAACUACGUGCCAGCCGCCGCCGUAACAC
rnacentral:rRNA from 1 species